GUUCCAGUAGAGAAACGGAUAGCACGUUGGAUUUCUAAUCCAAAGAUCGUGGGUUCGAAUCCCACCUGGAGUG